rnacentral:rRNA from 1 species
GAUGAACGCUAGCUACAGGCUUAACACAUGCAAGUCGAGGGGCAGCAUGGAAGAAGCUUGCUUCUUCUGAUGGCGACCGGCGCACGGGUGCGUAACGCGUAUCAAACCUGCCUCAUACUCGGGGAUAGCCUUGCGAAAGUAAGAUUAAUACCCGAUGUUGUUAUGUUGCUGCAUGGUGAUAUAACCAAAGAUUUAUCGGUAUGAGAUGGUGAUGCGUCCGAUUAGGUAGUAGGCGGGGUAACGGCCCACCUAGCCAUCGAUCGGUAGGGGUUCUGAGAGGAAGGUCCCCCACACUGGAACUGAGACACGGUCCAGACUCCUACGGGAGGCAGCAGUGAGGAAUAUUGGUCAAUGGACGGAAGUCUGAACCAGCCAAGUAGCGUGCAGGAUGACGGCCCUCUGGGUUGUAAACUGCUUUUAGUUGGGAAUAAAAAAGAGGACGUGUCCUCUAUUGUAUGUACCUUCAGAAAAAGGACCGGCUAAUUCCGUGCCAGCAGCCGCGGUAAUACGGAAGGUCCAGGCGUUAUCCGAAUUUAUUGGGUUUAAAGGGAGCGUAGGCGGAUUAUUAAGUCAGUGGUGAAAGACGGUGGCUCAACCAUCGUUAGCCAUUGAAACUGGUAGUCUUGAGUGCAGACAGGGAUGCUGGAACUCGUGGUGUAGCGGUGAAAUGCUUAGAUAUCACGAUGAACUCCGAUCGCGAAGGCAGGUGUCCGGGCUGCAACUGACGCUGAGGCUCGAAAGUGUGGGUAUCAAACAGG